AUGGGAGUUGAAGGGGAGGGUCGAAGGCAGAGAGUCGUGCCAAUUGCCAGGCCAUGUCUAUUUGGCUAUUUGUCCAGUUUUGGGCACAGAGCGCAAAAGCAUUUCAAUGCUUGCCAGUUGGCUUAGAUUAAACAGUGCGCGCUUUUCAUAUUUGGCUUUUCAAUUCACAAUAUUUAUGCCAUGCAAAACUGUUGUUUAUUGUGUCUGUUAUUGGACCCAGCUACACACAAAAGGUCGCCGCUUUGGACUUGGACUCGUUUUCAAUGUUUUUUUGCGCUUUAAGUUGGUGACAUCGUCCGGCUACGUGCAGGCGUCGCAAUCGCAGUCCAAAACGGCGGCAGUCCAUCAACGAGACGCAUCCAAAUGCGUGGGAAAUGUGCGCCGGCCUUGCUUUGAAGUCGGGCCUGUUGCGGAGUCAGUUGGAAAGGCUAUUUGCGGAAUUUCAAAGGCAAAAACUGUGCAUACUCAUCGCACACACACACACACACAGCGACAGCGACAAUACAAACACCCGCCUUGUAUAUAAAUUGCAUAAAGUUUUUGCUAGUGAAAGCUGCUUAAUGUGUGCACACACUGCCCGGCAUUACAACUACUGUGACCCUGUCAAGCGUAAUUUGCCGGCAUUACACGCACACGCACACGCACGCACACACACGCGCACACAAAGAGCCGACUCAAAUUGGCAUGUAACUGUCGCAAAGCGUGCACACACUGGCAACAAUGUGACCCCCUGCUGAGCGCAGCAAUCAUGAAAACCAAAACAAAGCGCGCUGCGCUGCGUAUUGUGUGAUUAAGUUUGCAAAUAAGGCUAAAGAAGCAUAAUUGUCACAUAAUAGACGCAAAACUUGGCUUGCACUUGCACGUUAAUUGGCCUAAAAAAAAAAAACCACAAUACAAAAAUAAAUACAAAAUGAAUCAUCGGCAACAACAAUUGGCGCAUUUCGUAGGCGACUCGCAACGAUUUGGACUUCCUUUUUUGUGGGGCGGCCGUCACAUGAUUGUCGCCAUUGAGACGGCACGACAACUGCAACUGCAACUGCAACGUGACGCAUGAGCAGUGGCAGCAACAACAAGUAAGCAGUAGGGAGUGCCCGACUGGCAGAUACCCUGCUUCUCUUAGUGGCACACUACUUCGGUGCUUAUGGUCCGAUCUUUAUGAAGUUUUCGCGGCUUACCAAUUAUCAUCCUAUUAUAAGAAUCAUCCGAGAUACAUAGACGCGAUCACAAAGAGAAACAGGCAGACAUGACAUGUGACUAUGUGCCUAAAGGAGUAGGAGACGCUUCCUUCUGGUCAUAACAUGCACAUGCACUGGACCCCUUUUAUAGCAAGCAGUUGGUGGCGAUGCGCUUUAACCUUUAACCGCACCCUAGCCCCCGGCCCCCGCCGCCCAUGUGGUUUCUAUUUUGGAGUUGCGACAAAUAUAGAGCGCAAUCCCUAAGACGAAUGACCGUUAAUGGAGACAUUUGUGUGCGCCUAGGGGUUGGGGGGUUAAAUGUAUUUAUAAACGUGCAUAUAGAUAUGUGUACGUGCACGUGCACAGCUUGACAACUUGCCUGAAACGAUCUUGAUCUUAGCUGUGGCACAUGCCACACAACGCGGCCAGUUCAAUAACAAUGGCCAACUUUGAACAAAGGCGAAUUUUCAAUUGUGGCGCGCACAGUGGCGGCCACUUACAAGAACUUUAACACGCCAGAGUUCAAAUUAGUCAGCAACACUCCAUAAAUCAGACAACGGAAAACAAUCAUAAAGAAACCGACCUGGCCACCGAUCGGGCCACCAGGCCAUGGCAGCGCCUUGCCAUGCACAGAUCUGGCUGGCGCUCUCUGGACACACGGGCAGCUGCCGCAACAACUGGCCAAUCGAGUUGGGCCGCCCGCUGCUCUGGGUCGAGCGAUUAGCAUACAAUUUGCGAGGCAACUUGUUUUUGUUGCUGUUGUUGUUAUUGUUGCAUUGACAGCAAUAAAUAAUAAAAUUGCAUUGCAAUGCACUUUGCCAGGCGGAUUAAUCGCUAAGUUGAACAAACUGCACCAAAGGAUGGGUGAGCUAACAAAAGGAAUGCAUGAAGUAAGUCAAGUUCAUAAGCAAUUGCAAUGCAAUGCACUUUGUCAGUCGGAUAAAUCGCAAAGCUAAAUAAACUGCAGCAAUAGUUAACAGAAGGAAUGUAUAAAGUGUGUCUACAAUCAGCUUGAUUGCAAUAAUAUAUUAAGCUAAUCGGUUUCUUUCUUAUGUAUUCCGGGUAUUACAUAGUGCGCUACAAAAAUAAGCAGAGGAAGUGCAUUAAAGACUCGCACAGUGUUGUUCACUUUGCCAGGCGGAUAAAACUCAAAACUAAACAAACUGCAAAACUGUAUUGAUGUGUAUUUAAAAGUCUUGUGCACUCGCCUGGGCAAGCCAUAAAAAAUAACUGGCGUCUGUUGUUGUUGCUGCUGCUGCGGCACAGUGUCGUACAAAUUGCACCGUUAAUAAAGUCAAAAUCGGAUUAGGCACGCCUCGAUCGACGCCUGCUUCCCUGCCCGUUGGCUGCCCCAGCUGAGCAACGGGCCUAAAUGGAGCUCAGCUGCACGCCCGUUGCCAAGUGGCCAACAGUUGGUCAACCUGGAGACACACUUGCAGAUUGGGACCCACAGAUGCAGAUAGAUAUUUGAUCUCGUGGCCGAAAAUGCCAAACAAUAAAUUGGCACUAAUGAAUUUGAUUCAUUUCGAUUUGCUUUUGGCAAUAACUAAAUCAACAUUUCGGGCUGACAGUUGUCAUAAGGCAAGACUGACCCAUAUGUGUCCGACGGUAGGAAAAGGAGUGCCAGCAUAAAAACAAAAAAAUUACAAAAAUAAAUAAAAUGAACAUAACUAUGCGCAUAUCUUGAUAGAUUUAACAAAACUGCGAAUUGUAGUUACAAGCUGAUCGCAAGAUAUAUCAAAUUGAAUAAAUCAACAUUCGGAAUGUACAAGUCGACAAACAUUCAGCAAAACAUGUCCUUCAAAUUCCAAGCUUAGCAAGCAAAUGGUUUAAUAUAAAUAUGGCAUAAUUUAUGGGCUAGAUAUCAUUAGAAAAUAUCAUUUAAAAAGUUAUUUUCA